CCUACGGGAGGCAGCAGUGAGGAAUAUUGGUCAAUGGACGGAAGUCUGAACCAGCCAUGCCGCGUGCAGGAAGAAGGCUCUAUGAGUUGUAAACUGCUUUUGUAAAAGGGGAAACCUGAAUACGUGUAUGCAGCUGAAAGUACGGUACGAAUAAGGAUAGGAUAACUCCGUGCCAGCAGCCGCGGUAAUACGGAGGAUCCACGCGUUAUCCGGAUUUAUUGGGUUUAAAGGGUGCGUAGGCGGAUUGAUAAGUUAGAGGUGAAAUGUCCGAGCUUACCUCGGGAACUGCCUCUAAUACUGUUGAUCUAGAGUGUAGUUGCGGUAGGCGGAAUGUCUGGUGUAGCGG
rnacentral:rRNA from 1 species